rnacentral:rRNA from 1 species
CCUACGGGAGGCAGCAGUAGGGAAUCUUUCACAAUGGGCGAAAGCCUGAUGGAGCAACGCCGCGUGCAGGAUGAAGGCCUUCGGGUUGUAAACUGCUUUUAUAAGCGAGAAAUAUGAUGGUAACUUAUGAAUAAGGAUCGGCUAACUACGUGCCAGCAGCCGCGGUCAUACGUAGGAUCCGAGCAUUAUCCGGAGUGACUGGGUGUAAAGAGUUGCGUAGGUGGCAUAAUAAGUAGCUAGUGAAAUCUGGUGGCUCAACCAUUCAGACUAUUAGCUAAACUGUUAAGCUCGAGACCGUUAGGGGUAACUGGAAUUUCUAGUGUAGGAGUGAAAUCCGGAGAUAUUAGGAGGAACACCAAUAGCGUAGGCAGGUUGCUGGGACGGUUCUGACACUAAGGCACGAAAGCGUAGGGAGCAAACGGGAUUAGAUACCCCAGUAGUC